rnacentral:rRNA from 1 species
UACGGGGGGGGUAAGCGUUGUUCGGAAUUACUGGGCGUAAAGGGCUCGUAGGCGGCCAACUAAGUCAUACGUGAAAUCCCUCAGCUUAACUGGGGAACUGCGUGUGAUACUGGAUGGCUUGGAUUUGGGAGAGGGAUGCGGAAUUCCAGGUGUAGCGGUGAAAUGCGUAGAUAUCAGGAGGAACACCGGUGGCGAAGGCGGGUCUCUGGGCAGUAACUGACGCUGAGAAGCGAAAGCGUGGGGAGCGAACAGG